rnacentral:lncRNA from 1 species
GCCUAGUCGAGCUUGGACUUGGCUCGGCUGGUUUGCACCCGUACUUUUGAGUCUUCAAGGUAAAUCCGUAAAUGUAAGAUGCAUUCGUAUGUUGAGAUCGUCUUCUGGUUUUCUUACUACAGAUGUUGAGUUCGUCUUGACUGCUUCUGUCAACUUCAAACUACACUUGUACGUCAUCGUGGGAUGUAAGGAAUCAUUGUGAAGUACUUAUUUGUACCUUGGAAUCUUGCGUGUGAUGUGAAGCCUAAAACGUUGCGCAUUUGUAUUGUAACUUA